AGAAUCUAGCCCUGAGCUCACUAACUCUGACUUUUGCCCUGAACUUUUUUGUAAUUCCUGUUUUUUGUAUUUCCUCAGGUGGAAGACAGACUUUUCACACGGUUUUUCUGGAGCAGAGUGAUUUUGUGUUAUUUAGUUUUACAGCCAAAGUGACUUGGACUACGGCGUGCUUUGUUUUCCCAUGGUGCAAAGCGACUGGGCUGGAC